rnacentral:rRNA from 1 species
UACGUAGGGACCAAGCGUUGUUCGGAUUUACUGGGCGUAAAGGGCGCGUAGGCGGCCUGUUAAGUCGAACGUGAAAUCCCCCGGGCUCAACCCGGGAACUGCGUCCGAUACUGGCAGGCUUGAAUCCGGGAGAGGGAUGCGGAAUUCCAGGUGUAGCGGUGAAAUGCGUAGAUAUCUGGAGGAACACCGGUGGCGAAGGCGGCAUCCUGGACCGGUAUUGACGCUGAGGCGCGAAAGCCAGGGGGAGCAAACGGG